rnacentral:SRP_RNA from 2 species
GCCGGGCGUGGUGGCUCGCGCCUGUAAUCCUAGCACUUUGGGAGGCUGAGGUGGGUGGAUCACCUGAGGUCAGGAGUUCGAGACCAGCCUGGCCAACAUGGUGAAACCCCAUCUCCA